CCUACGGGAGGCAGCAGUAGGGAAUAUUGCUCAAUGGGGGAAACCCUGAAGCAGCAACGCCGCGUGGAGGAUGAAGGUUUUCGGAUUGUAAACUCCUUUUGAUAGAGAAGUUAAUGACUGUAUCUAACGAAUAAGCACCGGCUAACUCUGUGCCAGCAGCCGCGGUAAUACGGAGGGUGCAAGCGUUACUCGGAAUCACUGGGCGUAAAGAGCGCGUAGGCGGAAUAGCAAGUCAGAUGUGAAAUCCUAUGGCUUAACCGUAGAACUGCAUUUGAAACUGUUAUUCUAGAGUAUGGGAGAGGUAGGUGGAAUUCUUGGUGUAGGGGUAAAAUGCGUAGAGAUCAAGAAGAAUUCUGAUUGCGAAGGCGACCUGCUAGAACAUAACUGACGCUGAUGCGCGAAAGCGUGGGGAGCAAACAGGAUUAGAUACCCUAGUAGUC
rnacentral:rRNA from 1 species